CUCUCAUUCAUCGUUUGUCAGCCACCUUACGAAUCGUCUCUGUUUUCCGUGUUCCAUACAAGAUCUCCAUGGCUCGAUAAACAUGGAGGUAAACAUGGGUCACCGCUUGCACCUUCAAUCUUAGGACCCAGUAAGAAAGAAGGGGAAGCAGAAACUUCGACUCUAUGGAAACGCGUGGCUGUUUUGUAUGUAUAAGACGAUGAACUCGCUGGGCAGGCCUCGUGCUUGGAGGCUGUUUUCAAGCUCGAGCAUGGCGCGCGCUGAUCACGGACACCUUCCGUUUCGAGGGACGAUGCCAGAUUACUGUCCCGCUGAGCCCAACGUCGCAGGUCGUCCGAAUAUGCUUGAGGCGAACUCGCGAUUGAAAGAGCUGGUGAAGCUCGGUCAGUUGAGCAAUGCUCGCAGGAUGUUCGACAGUAUGCCUCACCGGGACGAGAUCUCGUGGACCACGAUGGUUUCCGGGUACGUCGCUGCCAGGAACGCCGGCGAGGCUCUGCGCUUGUUCUUGAAUAUGUGGGUCGCGCCGGGACUCAAAAUGGACCCUUUCAUCCUCAGUCUCGCGCUCAAGGCCUGUGGGCUCGACGUGAAUCUGAAUCUUGGCGAGUCAUUACAUGGGUAUGCUGUGAAAACGGGACUGGUGAACUCUGUUUUUGUGGGCAGUACCCUUUUGGACAUGUAUACUAAAACGGGCAGAACCGAGCUAGGUUGUUGGGUCUUCGAUGAGAUGCCACUGAGAAAUGUUGUUUCUUGGACCGCCAUCAUCACUGGACUAGUUCGUAGUGGUAAUUGUUGGGAGGGGUUGUCGUACUUCUCCAAAAUGUGGAGAUCGAAGGUGCAAUGUGAUACAUAUACGUUUGCCAUUGCGCUGAAGGCAUGUGCUGAUUUGGGUGCUUUGGACCAUGGGAGAGAGAUACACACUCACACUGUUAAGAAAGGAUUUGAUGAAACCUCAUUUGUUGCCAAUACCCUUGCGACAAUGUAUAAUAAGUGUGGAAAGUUGGAUUAUGGAUUGCGAUUGUUUGAAAGGAUGCCAACACAAGAUGUGGUUUCUUGGACCACAAUAAUUACUACAUACAUUCAGAUGGGUCAGGAGGAAUCUGCAAUCAGAUCUUUUCUCAACAUGCGAGAAUCGGAUGCUAGUCCUAAUGAAUACACAUUUGCUGCAGUUAUAUCUGGUUGUGCCAAUCUUACCAGAAUUGACUGGGGCGAACAAUUGCAUGCCCAUGUUCUAUGCAUAGGUCUUUUCAGUUUUCUGUCAGUGGCAAACUCCAUUGUGACUAUGUACUCUAAGUGUGGACAGUUGACUUUGGCUUCAAUGGUUUUUAAUGAAAUGAAAAUGAGGGAUGUGGUUUCAUGGAGCACAUUGAUUGCGGGGUAUUCAAAUGGAGGAUGUGGUGAGGAAGCUUUUGAGCUUCUAUCACUAAUGAGAAGAGAAGGACCAAAGCCAACUGAGUUUGCUCUUGCGAGCAUCCUGAGUGUGUGUGGAAGUAUGGCCAGCCUUGAUUCAGGAAAGCAGCUGCAUGCUCAUGUCCUUCUGAUUGGUUUAGAACAUACGCCUAUGAUACAAAGUGCUCUAAUUAACAUGUAUGGCAAAUGCGGGAGUGUGAAAGAAGCAUCACAAAUCUUUGAUGUGGCAACAAACAAUGAUAUUGUUUCUUGGACAGCAAUGAUAAAUGGAUAUGCCGAACAUGGAUACAGCCAUGAAGCAAUUGAUUUAUUUGAGAAGCUGCCAGCAGUGGGCUUGAGACCGGACCCUAUAACCUACAUUGGUGUUCUUACGGCCUGUAGCCAUGCCGGGCUGGUUGAUCUUGCAUUUCAUUAUUUUGAUACGAUGAAUGUGAAGCACCAGAUCAUUCCUACAAAGGAACACUAUGGCUGCAUGAUUGAUCUCCUUUGUCGUGCUGGUCGCCUAAAUGAGGCAGAGAACAUUAUUAAAACGAUGCCAUUCAAACGAGAUGAUGUUGUUUGGUCAACUUUGUUGAGAGCUUGCAGAGUCCAGGGUGACGUUGACCGUGGAAGGCACGCUGCUGAGCAAAUUCUUGAGUCAGAUCCACAUUGUGCUGGAACUCACAUUACAUUGGCUAACAUAUAUUCUGCCCAAGGGAGAUGGAGGGAAGCAGCAGAUAUAAGGAAGACGAUGAAGUCUAUGGGAGUAAUUAAGGAACCUGGAUGGUCUUGGAUCAAGGUGAAAGAUCGUGUAUCUACAUUUGUAGCUGGUGACAGGACUCAUCUAGAGUGUGAAGAAAUAUACAACACAUUGGAUUUCUUGGGUCUGGACGAAAUUGAUUUCAAUGAUAUGGAUAUUUUUCUGGAUGAUGUUGGAGAUUGAAGAAGCAAUGCUUCAUCUUUCAUAACAGCUGAAGUCAGCUCCAUUUAUGUUGACUGGCUAGAUCUUGUCAUGACACAGAUUUGUGGGGAAACCAUUGCUGGUCAUGAGUAACAACUCACAAUGACAGGGAAUAUACUAGUUGUUCCCUGUGAAAGAAUCAUUUUGGAGACUUCUCAAAGUUCGAAGCAGUUCAAGGUCAUCAAAUUAUCCACUACCAAAAGUCUUCAAAGCAUCCCUGCGGGUCUUCUGGUUUUCAGGAGGGGAUUGCUAUCUUAAAGGGGAGCCGCAACAGUGUGAGAAGAUGACGGUUCUCCCCUUUGUCGCCUACUAACUAUGCUGGAGAUUUGUCAAAUAGUAUUCUGGCAUCCACAUUGCUCAUUAGACGUCUCAUUAGUUACCAGAGUUGGCAGCAGAAAAGGCAUGACCGGAAAAAAGCUGAUGUUGCCCAGUAUUGGUCUCAGGCAACAGGUAUGUGGAAGGUGAUUUUGUAUGGUUGUCUUGUUCCUGGAAGAAUGGAUAAUUUACUGAUUGAUGUCACUUAAAACACAUAGAUCUGAUCGAAAUAGAUAUGAGAAAAAAGAAGAUGCAUUAUGCAUGGUCAUCUUCUUCCAGAAAAAUGCACGAUAUACAAUGGAUGACAUUGGUUAAGCUUCAUGGUUGCAAUCAAAUUGCAGCUCGAAAAAUCUGUUGGUUACUGCCGGUAGACAAUUUUCCUACGUGUUCCCAUGCUGGAUUAAUAAACUUGCGUUAAAGUCUCCAUACAUUUGCUUUCUGUUUGCAGCAGUAGAAAUGUGGAUGAAUUCAGCAUCUUAAAACCUUUAACCAUUGUCAAGCUCAACUGCAUUUGCUGAUUUGAGUACAAUCAUUCUUUUCUCUUCUCUGCUUUACAAUUCUCCAGCAUUUAGUAUUGAGAGGUCUUCAGAAGCAAUUUAAAGGAUGAAGCAUUUUGCAUUGCCUUUUCUCUUAGCUAUAUUUAUAUGUCAAGCUUGUUUACUUGUCCAGGUAGAAGCAGGUGAUGGUUUUGUAGGGAUCAGAGGUAUUAAUUUGAUGCUGAAUGGAACCGCUGCUUGUGCCAGCGGCUUCAAUGCCUAUUGGUUGAUGUACACAGCUUCUGACCCUUCAGACAUAUAAAUAUGCAGCUGCAUAAGUGAAGCUUCAUGCCAUGGCCUCACUGUUGCUAUAACAUGGGCUUUCACUGACGGUGGUUACAAACCUCUACAGCACUCUUCUGGUUCCUACUGGAUAGGUGUUUUCAGGUAAUUCGCCGUCAGAGUAUUUCGUGAAAAUUUUUUAUGUCUUCAAAUCACCUAAAAUAUUUCUAAGCACAAGAUACUGAUUAUCUGCUCCACUCCAUGUUCAGAAGGAUUGGGUGAAAAAUGAAAUAAUUUUAGAAAAAGAGAACUUCUGUAUCUUUUGGAACUGAAAGUUCACUCCAUUUCAGUUGAGUUCAGUAUAUGGUGAGAGUGGUAGAUAAAUAACUCUGCAAUUUACAAAAAGUUAGGAAAUCCUUCAUUUUUUUUGGUUUUUCUAGUUGAGGAAGCAGCCUCUUUGAAAAAUCAGGGUAAAGGUGCGUACGUCAACCUCUCCCCACUUCCCAAGAACCUAUGCGCCAGGGCGUGCUAAGCAGUCUUAUGAUGGCAGAGUAUUGCUUUGUUUCUGUUUGCUGAUUAUUUCACUCUUGAGCACUGGCUCGACCCGCAUUCAAGAUGCCUGGCACAUCCUCAGGAAGCCGUCAGGCCUGAGUCCUGGUCAAGUUAGUCAAUCCUGGAGUGACCUGGUUUCAGCACUCACCUGAGACAUCAGCUCUUCAACACAGUACACUACCAGGUACUUGGGCUACAAGAGGCAGAGUGGCUACAGGAAGCUCACUCUGGCAACUUUUAAUUGAUUGUCUCUACCCAAGCCAGUUAUGAAAUGAACCUGAGCCAGAGCCCUUCAAGUGCAAGUUUCAUUAUAUAUUAGCCCAAUAGCUGUAUCAGAUGUGUAAGCUUCGAGCUAGGUGAGAAAUAUUGAGGACUUGAGGAGAGCACUGGCUGCAUGUGGUAGGGGAAAGCGUGCUGGAAGCUGAAAACGCUGGGUCUAUGCAGGAAGUUACAGGGUUUCAUGUAAAUAUGAAGAGUUGACGACGGUAUAUAUCUUGGAAAGAGGUGACCCCUCUCUCUGAUUAGCUGUUUUCAACCCUUAGGGUAGCUGAAAAUAGUAUAAAUUGAUGAUGUUCAUAAGGUUCUGUUCUUGUCGACGGCUUUGAAAUCUGUAAGCUGUCUGUUGCGAAGCUGUUUGCAGUUUCAUAUUGGUUUAUUUCCGCAUAAACUGAUCUCCUUUGGAUAAAUCGGAGCUUUAUGAUGUCAAUGAGGC